GCUGACUCCUGAAGGAGAUCUCCCCAAACACAGCAGCAGCCCCUUUGGCUUGGUUUGGUUUGCUUCUUGGUUUAGAGGGAUAAACAAGCAGACUAGCAAUUCUUUGUGAAGAGGAACAGACUUAGAUAAUAGUAGUGCAAAUAGAUGGUGCAUUUAAACUUUAAACAGGUACAAAUGUGCCUUUGAGACCAAUUGUCCUAAAAAUCCUGUUAACGUUUCUUUAGCCAUUAAAGUACUUGUUUAUCCUCUGUUUCUUAACUGGACCUGUUCUGGACAAAAUAGAUGUGCAAAUUCUAUUUGGCUCAGGUCUUUAAAGUUUAAAAAAGAGCUUUCAUGAUACAUCAAAACUCAGGCCACACCCCAAAUUAUUUUUAAAAAAUAAAUUCAUAUUAUCAUGCUGAAAGUCAAAAUAGAGCAACUAAAAAUAGCAGGUGACAGCAAUGAUCUAAGUCCAGAGGUAUGGCUAGUGAGUCACAGGGAGAGACCAAAAGAGGGGCUGAUGAAGCGUCACUGAGAGAGGCAGCAAAUGCUCUCAAAUUAAAAUAGACGGUGCCUCCGGAUUGGUGAGGAAAACCCUUCUUUCUUUCCAGGAUUGUUUCUGUGUGACUAACCAAGGAGAUAAGGUACAGAAGUGGAGCACAUUUUUAAUUUUCAUGAGAGCGUUUCACGCUGUUUUAAAAGUUCACAUUCAUCUCUCCCCUGAGACUUGUGUGGCCUGGUCACUGCCCGACACAGAUGAGGAAGGUAAUGGUCAAAGCGGCCAACAGGGCCCAGCCGCAGUGGAGUCCACAGUCCCCACUCCUAUGGCAAAGGCCACGUCUUCCCUGCUGCGGGUGUAGGAUGUUCUAGGGCGAGAGGAACUGAGUACUACUUACUGCAGCAUCUCGUGGUCACAAAUACCGUGUUCCUAAAAAGGUGGAGGUUCCCGGAGGGAAAAGACGGCCCAGCCUGGGCCGCGCCGGCUAAAAACCAGAGUCUCCCCGACGACGGAAGGCCUUUCUCCAGAAGACGAAGCCUGUCUCUCAGAGGGCCCUUGGCUUGCGCCAGAGACCGUGCUAAGUGCUUUGCGGGAUUAUAGCCAGAAAAGGGAGGCCAGCAGAGGCGACGGGACUCGUCCAGGGUCUGAGGCUGCCUUAGAGCCCCGCCCUGCAGCAGCAGCCCCGAUCCAGCCCUGCGGCAGUUGGCAGCCCCAGACAGCCCCAAGAUGGCCUGGGCUGUGUGCCAGUAGCACCGUGCGUGCGGCACUUCUCUUCCGUCAAUCCCCGCUCCUUUUUGGGUCGGGCUCCCGGGACACAGAACCUCAGCCAGUCUGCGGGCCUCAGGGAUGACAUGAACCAGCGCGAUGUAGAUGUACACGUGGUCCGGCCCGCGGCGCUGCGCGAGGAGGAGGAGCCAAUGGGCGGGAGACGCCUCUGCUCUCACUCAUUUUCCCCAUCCGGCCUGGUUUAAAGGGUCACAGAUUUGACCCAAUGUGGCUGGGAAGAGCCUCAGAGACCCGCUGAUCCGACCGCUUCAUUCGAAAGGAGGAAACUGACUGACAAGCGAUGUGCUCCAAGUGCCCCGAGUGAGAAGGACUCAAAUGUGACCCGGGCCUCCUCCAUCUAAACCCGGCGAGCCUCCCCAGCCUUCUCUCUGGAGCUAAACUGCAACCUUUCUGUCUUAAAUGACUUUGGGUAAUCCCCCCUCGCCCCCCAAGAAUCCAUCGCUGUUCCCCCAUGGGGAGCAGGCUGGGAGGGAGGGCCUCGGGGGAGGCUCGUGCUUACCGCAGGCAUGGUGAGCAGCUGCGUGGCGGUCACGUUCACGCCUUCGGGAAUGACGUGGAGCUGAUUGAGGCCUCUCGCGUGUUCCCGGAAUAGCUGUGUCAAAGGGAAAUCAGUGUGGAGAUCAUUGCAAUCCUGUUCUGGGAAAGCCAGUACUUGCACUGGAGGGUCUGCGAUGGUUUUCCUCUGUUCACUGUUUCCUAUUUUUGAGCUUUUCUCCCUCUCUGGAGGGAUAGGAAAAGAAGAUGCUUCUGCUUUAUCACCUAUUACCUAAGAGACUGUUUUUUCUAGUACCAGGAUGCUCUCACAAUGGGCCUCCCCCCUCCUCCUGGGCAGCCUUGCUGAUCACUAAGACAGGCUGGCCUUUCCCCCCUCAGGCCAGAGCAAAAUAGGGCAGGACCCACAGAAGAGGAUGGGAAUCCCAGCAAGGAGCUAGGAGGGCCUUCCAUGCUGGCUACCGCUACCAUAGAGAGUGUCAGCCAAGAAUAGAGGAAGUUAUUUAAAAAAACUUUUUUUAGAAAUUCUUUUCUCUUUGUUCUUUAUUCCUGGAAAGCUCUAAAUGUUAGGUAUACUGAGAGUGGUGAUGGGAAACUUCAAUUAUUUGGACAUCCACCAAAAGAAUGGCGGCUGAAAAAUGGUUAAGGAUAACUAUUUUUUCAAAAGGUAGAAAAAGCAGAAAGGAGAUGUGUUACUGUGGAAAUGAUUCUGGCAAAUGGCAGUGAUCUUGGGGAGGGGGUUCUUUUUUUUCCGUUUUAUUUUUUCCUUUUUUUAAAAUUUAGAAUAUUUUUCAGGGUUACAUGAUUCAUGAUCCCCCCCCCCUUUCCUGCCUUGGGGGGGAAAUUCUUUUUUUUUUUUUAAACCCUUACCUUCCAUCUUGGAGUCAAUACUGUGCCUGGUUCUCAAUCCACUGAGCUACCCAGCUGCCCUUGGGGGGGAAAUUCUUAAAGAUGUUAGGCAUCCCAGGGUGAGAAGAGCUAGAAUGUGAAGCCAGAUCUUCUCCAUCUAAACCUAGCAAGCCCUCCCAGCCUUAUCUCUUGAGCUAAACUUCAACCUUCGUGUCUUAAAUGAACAUGAGGCAUAUUAAGGCAUACUAAAUUACUAUUAGGCAUAGUCUGGUGCGCACCCUAGAUUUUAGGAGAGGAAAUGUCACCAAUCAGAGAAAGAACUUCUUCAUUCAUUGAGUUCAGUGCAAAAGAGACAGAAAACUCUAAAUUUUGACAAAAGAAAUUAUUUCCUGAGGAAGAGAGAGGAGACUUGUUGAAACAGACUAACAUGGAUAUACAUCGACCACUGCAGAUCUUUCCAAAGUCUGUAUAAAAGACUAAAGGGCAAGUGAGAGUGAACACAAAAUAAUGGCCAUCCUGAAAAAACAGGAGCAAAGCUCAGAAUGAAAUGAGUCUUUUUUUCCGUUAAACCUUUACUUUCAUCUUCAAAUCAAUAGUGUGUGUGUGUGUGUGUGUGUGUGUGUGUGUGUGUGUGAAUUGAGAGCCAGGCCUAGAGAUGGAAUGUCCUGGGUGCGAAUGUGGUUUCAGACACUUCCCAGCUGUGUGACCCUGGAAAAGUCCCUUAACUCCCAUUGCCUAGCCCUUACCACUCUUCAACCUUAGAACCGAUACACAGUAUUGAUUCUUUUUUUUUUUAAGAUAGUUUGUUUUCCCAAUUAGAUGUAAUAACAGUUUUCAAUAUAUGUUUCCCAAAAUUAUAUGGUUCAAAUUGUCUCCCUCUCUACCUUCCCUCCCCUUUGUGAAAGGAAAUUUUUAUUCCCUUUGUCUAUUUUAAGUUAAUCAAGAACUUAAAGUACCCCUACUUAACACUUACCAAGUCUCUAAGAAAGAAAAUUCAUGCCUAAAGGGCACAAGUACUGCCCCCCUUACUCCCCCUCUCUGAUGCUAAGCAAAUUGAAAGGCUGUGAUUGGUUCCUGAGAUGUCAUAGACCAGCCCAUGGUGAAAGGAUGGAGAAACCAGAGAGAUAGGAAGUGAUAGGAAGAAAACUGCUUUAAAAAGCCAGCAUUCUGAUUCAUUCUGCUGCCUUGGUGGCUUUUGCUGAGGGAGGACUUCUGCCUUGGUGUCUCUGUGUUGGAGGAAUUCUGCUGCCUUGGACUUCUGCAUUGGAGAUGGACUCUGUACUGAAGAGAUUACUGAGACUCCUGGUUGGAGAUUGGGACCUGAGGGAGCCUUUGUCAGAGUUGAGCUGGAUUUCUUUGGAUCUGCAAUUAUAAGGUAUUUAGCUAGGUAAUAUUUUCUACCUCCUUGCUACAUUUCCCUCUUUACUAUCUCUACCUUGCUGUAAUAAAGCUACUAAACAGCAUUUUGGCUUAAGAAGUUAAUUUUAUAUAUGGUGACCACAAUAAUUCUUUUUUCAACCAUUAUUAUUUUUGCUAAACCAAAUAUUUAAUUACAUCCCCUCAUUUUCCAAUUUUUUGCCACCACAAAAAGUGCAGCUAUAAAUAUUUUUGUACACAUAGGUUCUUUCCCCACUUUACAGACUUAGUGUUAUUACUGGAUCAAAGGACAUGCACUAUUUUAUAGCCCUUUGGGCAUAGUUCAAAAUUGCUCUCCAGAUGGUUGGGUCAGUUCAUAAUUCUACCAACAAUGCAUUAAUGUCCCAAUUUUGGCAUAUCCCUCCAGUAUCGAUCACUUUCUCCUUCACUGUCAUAAUGGCCAAUCUGAUAGGUGUGAGGUGGUACCUCAGACUUGUUUUAAUUUGCAUUCCUCUGAUUGUAAGAGAUUUAAAACACUUUUCAUAUCAUUGACAGCUGAAAGCUGCUUGUUCAUAUCUUUUGACUAUCUGUCAGUUGGGGAACUUGUGUUCUUAUGAAUUUGACUUAGUUCUUCAUAUAUUUGAGAAAUUAGAUUUUUAUUAGAGAAAUUGGCUGAAAAUUUUUUUCCUAGUUUGCUGUUUCCCUUCUUUUCUUGGUUACGUUGAUUUUGUUUGUAUAAACCCUUUUCAAUUUAAUAUAAUAAACAUCAUUUAUUUUACAUCUUGCAAUGUUCUCUAUCGCUUGUUUAGUCAUAAAUUCUUCCCUUCUUCAUAGAUCUGUCAGGUAAACUAUUCUAUGUUCCCCUAAUUAAUAAUAUUCAUUCUAAGAGGGAAGGAUUUGUUGUUUUAAAUCAAUCUUAUUUUCUGUCUUAGUACCCAUUCUGAGACAAAAGACUGGCAAGGGCUAGGCAGUUGGGGCUAAGUGACUUGACCAACCUCACACAGCUAGGAAGUGUUUGAAGCUAGAUCGGAACCUGGAUCACCCCAAUUCUAGGCCUAGGGGGUCUACCCACUGUGCUUACAUAGCUAUCUUUACAAUAUUACAUUUUUUUUUAAAAACCGUACCUUCCAUCUUAAAAUCAAUACUAUGUACUAGUUCUAAGACAGAAGAGUGGUAA